rnacentral:ncRNA from 1 species
AUGGAAUAGACGGGGAUCAAUUGAUAAAAGUUACGCUAGGGAUAAAUUUGUUGUCCUUCUUAAUUGAAAAUUUAAGAUCAAUAAACCAGGUGAAUUGCAAAAAGGACUUAAAUUAAUUUAUAAAGCUAAAUAUUACUAUUAUAAAAAUAAAUAAAAUUGUUUUUUUAUCAAGUAAUGUUUAUGGAAAUAAAGAAGUUAAUUUGCAGCGAAGCUUAUUUAACCAUUUAAUAUAAAUAAGAACGUUCAACGAUUAGAAAGUGAGUUAUGGUAACAAUAAUCUUUCCACGAGUGCCUGGCAUCUACUAUGGUUCAUUUAUUUUUAAUUAAUAUUUAAUAUUUAAUUUUUAAUUUUUAAUUUUUAAUUUUUAAUUUUAUUUAUUUAAAGUACCAUAAGGAAAUCUUCAUAUUAGAAAUCAAUAUUAAAUUAACUUAGGUUAUUUAUAAUUUUUGUUUUUUAUUUUAAUUUCUUUAUUAAAAAUAAACCAUUAAGAUGAUGACAUAAUCUGAACAGUAAUGUAAAUUACUGAAGUAAUGAAUAAAUAAUCAUUACGAUAACAAUUUUUUGAACAGGCUGAUAGCCGGCGAGAGUACACAUUGUCCCGGCUGUUUGG